UAGUGGAGGUUAUCAAGGAGACAGGUGGUGCAUGUUGUCGUCAGCUCGUGUCGUGAGAUGUUGGGUUAAGUCCCGCAACGAGCGCAACCCUUAUUGCUAGUUACCAUCAUUAAGUUGGGGACUCUAGCGAGACUGCCAGUGAUAAACUGGAGGAAGGUGGGGAUGACGUCAAAUCAUCAUGCCCCUUAUGACCUGGGCUACAAACGUGAUACAAUGGCCGGUACAGACGGACGCAAAGCCGCGAGGUGGAGCAAAUCCUAAAAAGCCGGUCUCAGUUCGGAUUGCAGGCUGCAAUUCGCCUGCAUGAAGUCGGAAUCGCUAGUAAUCGCAGGUCAGCAUACUGCGGUGAAUACGUUCCCGGGCCUU
rnacentral:rRNA from 1 species